CUGAGACUAUUCUGAGAGUGAGAGGACCGGAGGGGGCAUCAUAACAUUAACAGCGUUAUGACAUUAUGUUCGAUCAACCAGCUAAGGGCCCGUUCGUUUGAAGGGGAAUCAUGGCCUGAAAUCAUUCCUGGCUAGAUUGUUUGCCAUAUUUACAUAAGCUAUGAGCAGCUGGAACAAUUCCCGGUCCAAUCGUGGCCUAAACGAACGGGCCCUAAGUGAGUUUAGGUCCAUGACAGUGAGUUCACGCACAGCCGAAAGUAGCGCCGAGGGCUGUUGCACCAACAGUGCUACGUACGUGCCGAAAGAAAAUGGGGACUGGUGCGUUGCCUGCCUGCACUUUAGGGAGCUAGUAUAGCGGCAAUGCAUGGCUGCAACGCAUUCAGCAGCAAAGGCGAAGAGACGCGGCUGCGGCAGCGCAGAGACCCUGCUUCUCUCUCUACACAGCACCGGCCGGGCUGCACCCAGUGUACUAUAGUGAGUGAGUACUCCGCACCGCACCGUAGCCCAGAUAAGGUAGGCCAGUGUGCACGUUAGGGUUGGAUAUCGAGCUAGCUCGGUUCGUUAUGGCUCGACUUAGCUUGUUAGUAAGCUCAAAUUAGUUUGUUUGGCUUGCAAGCCAAAUCGUAAAAAUAUAAUGUAAAGACUAAAAAUUUAUAAAAACAAUUGAGCAACAAAUAUAUCACAUUCAUAUUUAAAAUGAAAUAAGCAAAGUACUUGUAGUUGUAGCUUUAACAAUUUAACAAAUGAACUAGAGUUUUGAAUAACCAGCCCACUAUGAUCAUGACCGUGACUACAUGAUAGUAAUACUUAUAAAAUUUAAGCAUGUCCAUUAAAGAAUAAAGUUAGGAUUUUACGAAUAGGUUAGGUCGAGCUACUGAGAAAUGUAUGGAUAUAUAGAUGAGCCAAUUUUAGUUGCUGACUGGCUCGCAAGCAGCUCACAAGCUGGCUUGAGCUGACUCAUUAUAAAACGAGUUGAACUUAAACCGAACCAUUAACAAAUAAGUUGAGCGAGCUACAAGUUAUAAGUUUUUUUUGUCCAGCCUUAACGCACUUGGUACGUAUGGAUUCUCCAAUAUUCACACUCCACGUACGGUCCAACUCCAUACUUACCCCACUGCAUUAUUUGCUUUUCAGACGAGCUAAUAGUAGUACUGUGUACGAAGAUCGAUAUAUACCUAGGAGUAUACGCGUAGAGAUUCAGAUUCCGCCCAAAAAAACAUACGAAACUAAGGCCUUGUUCAAUUCAUCCUAAAAAAAAAAAUUCAAGAUUCCGUUAUAUUAAAUCUUGCGACAUAUACAUAAAGUAUUAAAUAUAGACAAAAAUAAAAACUAAUUACACAGUUUACCUGUAAAUCGCGAGAUGAAUCUUUUGAGCCUAGUUAGUCUAUAAUUAGAUAAUAAUUAUCAAAUAAAAACGAAAGUGCUAUAGUAUCCAAAAUCCAAAAAAAUUCGGAACUAAACAAACAACAGAUGCGUAAAGACAAUGAGCACUCCCUCCGUCUCAAAAAAGUAUCGUUUUUUACUUUCAUUUUAUUCAAAAAAUUUCUAUAAAUUAUAAAAUAAAUAAAAAAAUAUUAAAGUAUGCUUGAUGAUAAAAUAAGUCAUAAUUAAAAAGAUGGUAUUUAGAUAAAAAUUAAAUAAGACGGCAAAUAAGUAAAAAACCAAUACUUUUUUUUUUAAAACGGAGAGAGUACUAGUUAGUGCUCCUACAAUAUUAGUAUUGUACUCGGUACUAUAUACUAUGCAAUAUACUACUGUGCAGCGCCCCCUAGUGUACGCGUCGUUGGGAGAUACGCACUAAAUUAGAAGCGUACGUCUUAGUCAAUAUUACUACUAUGGUUUCGGGACCAUGGACAAACGCACGUAUUCCUACAAAAUACUGUGUACCAUAUACGUUUCCUUUAGCUUGGCACAAAAACACAAG
rnacentral:lncRNA from 1 species